GAGAUGGCAAAGCUUCCAGCCAAAUUUGUAGAGGUGACGGCGGAGAAAGGGCUAGUAGUUCCUUGGUGUCUUCAAUUGGAAGUUUUAUCUCAUGAAUCGAUCGGUUGUUUUGUGACGCAUUGCGGCUGGAACUCGACGCUCGAGGCUCUAACCAUCGGCGUUCCCAUGGUGACGAUGCCGCAGUGGACGGAUCAAACCAUUAAUGCCAAGUUUGUAAUGGAUGUUUGGAAGAUCGGAAUUAGGGCUCUGCCUGACUGUAACGGAAUUGUGCGGCGGACAACGAUUGCAGAUUGUAUCUUGAAGAUCAUGGAUGACGACAGAGGAAUAGAGAUUCGGAGAAACGCCGCUAAAUGGGGAAUGUUGGCAAAGCAAGCGGUGGAUCACGGUGGAAGUUCCGAUCAGAAUGUUGAUAAGAUUCUUG
rnacentral:misc_RNA from 1 species